rnacentral:rRNA from 1 species
CCCUGCCAUUUGUACACACCGCCCGUCGCUCCUACCGAUUGAAUGAUCCGGUGAAAUCUCCGGAUGGUGGCGUACAUCUGCUCCGGGCAACUGGGGUAGUAACGUCGCCAGAAGUUGCUUGAACCUUAUCAUUUAGAGGAAGGAGAAGUC